GGGGCGGUAGCUCAGCCGGUCAGAGCAGCUGACUCAUAAUCAGCCAGUCACGGGUUCGAGUCCCGUCCGCCCCA
rnacentral:tRNA from 1 species